UACGGGAGGCAGCAGUGGGGAAUCUUGCGCAAUGGGCGAAAGCCUGACGCAGCCAUGCCGCGUGAAUGAUGAAGGUCUUAGGAUUGUAAAAUUCUUUCACCGGGGACGAUAAUGACGGUACCCGGAGAAGAAGCCCCGGCUAACUUCGUGCCAGCAGCCGCGGUAAUACGAAGGGGCUAGCGUUGCUCGGAAUUACUGGGCGUAAAGGGCGCGUAGGCGGAUCGUUAAGUCAGAGGUGAAAUCCCAGGGCUCAACCCUGGAACUGCCUUUUGAUACUGGCGAUCUUGAGUAUGAGAGAGGUAUGUGGAACUCCGAGUGUAGAGGUGAAAUUCGUAGAUAUUCGGAAGAACACCAGUGGCGAAGGCGACAUACUGGCUCAUUACUGACGCUGAGGGCGCGAAAGCGUGGGGAGCAAACAGGGAUUAGAUACC
rnacentral:rRNA from 1 species